UACGGAGGGGGCAAGCGUUAUCCGGAAUUACUGGGUGUAAAGGGAGCGUAGACGGUGAUGUAAGUCUGGAGUGAAAGGCGGGGGCCCAACCCCCGGACUGCUCUGGAAACUAUGUGACUGGAGCGCAGGAGAGGUGAGCGGAAUUCCUAGUGUAGCGGUGAAAUGCGUAGAUAUCACGCAGAACCCCGAUUGCGAAGGCAGCAUACCGGUGCACAACUGACGCUCAGGCACGAAAGCGUGGGUAUCGAACAGG
rnacentral:rRNA from 1 species